GCCGUCAGCUGGCGGCGGCGCAGCACGCCGCGCCAUCACGUCAGGCGGCGUGCCCGACGCCGCACGCAUGGUGAGGGCAGGGAACGGCAACGAGCCACCGCCUCCCUCGCCCACCGAAGCGGGGGGACGGGGCCUGACGGGGCGGAACCGCCGCAGGAAGGCGGGAAGCGGGGCCGCGGUGCGCUUCUUCCCGAAGAUGACAUCAGUUACUCGACAAGAAGUUCUUGGCCUUUACCGCAAGAUAUUCCAAAUAGCCAAAAAAUGGCAGUCGGCAUCAGGACAGAUAGAAGAAACUAUUAAAGAGAAAGAGUACAUUAAAAAUGAAGCCAGAACAUUAUUCCGAAAAAACAAAAAUGUAACAGAUCCAAAGUUGAUUAAGCAGUGUAUAGAAGAAUGUGAGGCAAGAAUAGAAAUUGGACUUCACUAUAACAUCCCCUACCCAAGACCUAUCCAUCUGCCUCCUAUGGGUCUUGCCCAUAAACAAGGCCGUAUGUUGCGACACCAGGAAAAGUUAAGGAAGAUUUCUAAGCCAAUAUACCUGAAAUCCCAUGAUGAAGUUUCAUAACCCAUCGUUUAAGAUUUGAUGUCUAAUCACAUCAUUUAAACUGUGGACUACAAUCCAGCACCAGAAGGCAAAGACUAAAAUUUGCUAAAACCUCAGGUUGUUCAGCUACAGGAAAGAUUAGAUCAGUUCUUUUUUCAAGUCUGGAGAGCAAAUCCCUUCUUUCGCAGCUGUAUGGAAAAGAGAAUCUGCCUUAGAGCUCUUUGGUUUUGGAGGUCAAACUGGCAAACUACCAUUUUGAGGGAAUUUCAUAAAAAAAAGUUUCAUCUGCAACCUAGUCCAGCGGGUAGGCAGACAUCUCAACGGGUACUCACUGUAUUAAAUUCCAGGGCUGUCAAGAAGUAUCCCAAUGAUGGGACAAUGUUAUUCUUACACAUUAAUUUUACUUGCAAAAGAUGCUGUCCUAAAAUGCCUCCUGAGUUCUCAAGUUUGUAAUGCACUGGAUUCAACCAGUCAGUAUACACUCUGUCCUGUACUUUCUUAACUUUGUCUUACUCCUCUUCCAGUAAAUACUGUCUCUUUCAAAUUUG